rnacentral:rRNA from 1 species
CCUACGGGAGGCAGCAGUGGGGAAUAUUGCACAAUGGGCGAAAGCCUGAUGCAGCAACGCCGCGUGAAGGAAGAAGGGUUUCGGCUCGUAAACUUCUAUCAACAGGGACGAAAGAAAUGACGGUACCUGCAUAAGAAGCCCCGGCUACCUACGGGCCAGCAGCCGCGGUAAUACGUAGGGGGCAAGCGUUAUCCGGAUUUACUGGGUGUAAAGGGUGAGUAGGCGGCAUGGUAAGCCAGAUGUGAAAGCCUUGGGCUUAACCCGAGGAUUGCAUUUGGAACUAUCAAGCUAGAGUACAGGAGAGGAAAGCGGAAUUCCUAGUGUAGCGGUGAAAUGCGUAGAUAUUAGGAAGAACACCAGUGGCGAAGGCGGCUUUCUGGACUGCAACUGACGCUGAGGCACGAAAGCGUGGGGAGCGAACAGGAUUAGAUACCCUAGUAGUC